GUUUCAAAUAUGAACACUAUACAGUAGUAUUGGAUAUGUGUUAAUUUGUGGACACUGAAUAAAAUAUGAAAUAUUUUCCAUUGGAGAAACACAGUGCUACAUUCCCUCUACCGUGUGAGAGUGUUGAGUAAUGAAACUCUAGUGUUAAUCAAGCUACGGAACACUUGCUCCCCUCUACCUCCGAUGCCACCAAUACAGCCUUCCAAAUCUUGCAUCCUCUUGAGAACCAUUCUCACCUCUUCAUCUCCCUUCUUUCUUAACCCGCACAAGCUCUCUGCAUUAACUUGCUGCAAUUCUUGAAUUCCUUCCUCCAUCUUCGCUUUCUUUGCCCUUUUAGGCAAUCUCAUCAUCGCUCCCAUCCAAGAAGAUUUUUUCGAAGCAAAUGACAAAGAGAUUCCAUUGAAAAGGGCAACUGAAACUGAUGCUGUCACUUCAAUAACAUCUCCAAUGACGCUAGCCAAUUCAGCAUCAGUUAUAGACAGUUUAUCGAAUCCAGGAACUGAGCAUCUUGAGAUAUCUCGAAUUGUGUAGGCGAGUUUAGACAUCUCUUUAGCCAUUUUCUUGCGGGAUUUAAUGUACGAAGCAAUCUUGGAAUCGUCUCUCUUUCUUGUAGCAACCUGAGCAGCAAGCUGCUCUUCUUUGAGAGCCAAAACCGAUGUUUGGAAUAUCCCAUAAACAUCAACAAAUCGGAGAAAAUCUUCAAGAAGGUUCUCAACCCAUGUGGGCUGGCAGCGAAGGGAUUCUUGGGUUUGAGGGAGGUGGAGGAUAUCAUCAAGAGAAUCAUGAACCUCUUUAAGGCGGGUCAAUCCAUCGCAGAGCCAAGAGGAGGUUCGGUUAUCAGAUUUGGAAGACCAAAUUCUGAGCUCGGAGAUCCCAUUCCUGAGCCGGGAAAUUAAAGGGUGUGAUCUGCAGGGAAGACUGAUGGAUCUGAUGUGGUGAGGGAGGGAUGGUUUUGGUGGGCGAUUGGGAAUUUGAUUAGGAAAUGAAAGAGAACGCUUGAAUACGCCUACCAUUUUCAGUACAAGGAGAGUGUUUCAGGAUUUGAAGGUAAA
rnacentral:misc_RNA from 1 species